rnacentral:rRNA from 1 species
UGGGGAAUUUUGGACAAUGGGGGAAACCCUGAUCCAGCCAUCCCGCGUGUGCGAUGAAGGCCUUCGGGUUGUAAAGCACUUUUGGCAGGAAAGAAACGUCAUGGGUUAAUACCCCGUGAAACUGACGGUACCUGCAGAAUAAGCACCGGCUAACUACGUGCCAGCAGCCGCGGUAAUACGUAGGGUGCAAGCGUUAAUCGGAAUUACUGGGCGUAAAGCGUGCGCAGGCGGUUCGGAAAGAAAGAUGUGAAAUCCCAGAGCUCAACUUUGGAACUGCAUUUUUAACUACCGGGCUAGAGUGUGUCAGAGGGAGGUGGAAUUCCGCGUGUAGCAGUGAAAUGCGUAGAUAUGCGGAGGAACACCGAUGGCGAAGGCAGCCUCCUGGGAUAACUCUGACGCUCAUGCACGAAAGCGUGGGGAGCAAACAGG